rnacentral:rRNA from 1 species
UUAAGCAUAUCAAUAAGCGGAGGAAAAGAAACCAACAGGGAUUGCCCCAGUAACGGCGAGUGAAGCGGCAACAGCUCAAAUUUGAAAUCUGGCCCCCCGGCCCGAGUUGUAAUUUGGAGAGGAUGCUUCUGGCGCGGCGCCGUCCGAGUUCCUUGGAACAGGACGCCACAGAGGGUGAGAGCCCCGUACGGACGGACGCCUAGCCUCUACGAAGCUCCUUCGACGAGUCGAGUAGUUUGGGAAUGCUGCUCAAAAUGGGAGGUAAAUUUCUUCUAAAGCUAAAUACCGGCCAGAGACCGAUAGCGCACAAGUAGAGUGAUCGAAAGAUGAAAAGCACUUUGAAAAGAGGGUUAAAAAGUACGUGAAAUUGUUGAAAGGGAAGCGCCUGUGACCAGACUUGCGCCUCGCGGACCACCCGGCGUUCUCGCCGGUGCACUCUGCGUGGCGCAGGCCAGCAUCGGUUCUCCCAGGGGGACAAAGGCCGCGGGAACGUAGCUCCUUCGGGAGUGUUAUAGCCCGCGGCGGCAUGCCCCUGGGGGGACCGAGGACCGCGCUUCGGCAAGGAUGCUGGCGUAAUGGUCACCAGCGACCCGUCUUGAAACACGGACCAAGGAGUCAAGCAUUGGGGCGAGUGUAUGGGUGCCAAACCCGCACGCGAAAUGAAAGUAAACGCAGGUGAGAGCUUCGGCGCAUCAUCGACCGAUCCUGAUGUCUUCGGAUGGAUUUGAGUAAGAGCCUUACCGCUUGGACCCGAAAGAUGGUGAACUAUGCCUGAAUAGGGUGAAGCCAGAGGAAACUCUGGUGGAGGCUCGCAGCGGUUCUGACGUGCAAAUCGAUCGUCAAAUUUGGGCAUGGGGGCGAAAGACUAAUCGAACCAUCUAGUAGCUGGUUACCGCCGAAGU